rnacentral:rRNA from 1 species
CAGAGGGUGCGAGCGUUGUUCGGAAUUAUUGGGCGUAAAGCGCAUGUAGGCGGCUUGUUAAGUCACGUGUGAAAGCCCCAGGCUCAACCUGGGAAGUGCGCGUGAAACUGGCGAGCUUGAAUCCUGGAGAGGGUGGCGGAAUUCCCGGUGUAGAGGUGAAAUUCGUAGAUAUCGGGAGGAACACCAGAGGCGAAGGCGGCCACCUGGACAGAGAUUGACGCUGAGACGCGAAAGCGUGGGGAGCAAACAGGAUUAGAUACCCUGGUAGUCCACGCUGUAAACGAUGAGUGCUAGCUGUGGCGGGUUUUGACCCCUGCCGUGGCGACGCUAACGCAAUAAGCACUCCGCCUGGGGAGUACGGCCGCAAGGCUA